GUCUACGGCCAUGCCACCCUGAACAAGCUCGAUCCUAUCUGAUCUUGGAAGCUAAGCACGGUUGGGCCUGAGUAGUAUUUGGAUGGAAGACCACCUAGGAAGACCAGGUGCUGUAGGUG
rnacentral:rRNA from 1 species